rnacentral:lncRNA from 1 species
GCAAGAAAGUAAGUAGAAUUUGUUAUAAAUGCAUUCUUUGCUAAAUUGCAGUGUGUGUGUUUGUGUGUGCCUGUGUGUGUGUUUUGUUUUCUUCUGCUUUUAUACCAGUCAACAGUUGUUAAUAUGUUUUAUUUGGUCUGUUUCCUUAUCAUAACUCUUACACAAUUCUCUCUUGUUCUUGUCUGAUUCUUCCUUUUAACGAAUGUCUUUCUGUUAACUCAAAAGACAUUGAAACUUUAACAAAAUAACUGCCAGAGAAGUGUUCCUAACUAGGCAGGUUCAUUCAAUUAAAAUAAAGUGAGCUGCAUUUUAUUGGAAUAGGUAGUGUUCUAGAAUUCCAACGCAGAGAUAAUUGCAUCCACAGGUCAUGCUGCUUUUAUUUAUUGUUUUAUUAAAUUGUAUUGCUUAUUAUCAUGUUCAAGUCUAUAACCCACUCAUUCUAUUUUCUUUUUAUAUUCUUUGCUCCUGAAGAAUAAUAUACCUAUACAUCCAUUUCUAACUUCUCAUUCAUAGGUUGUUUUCUAUGUCUUUGUCUUUAUAUUGUGAUUUUUUUUCCACUUUGUGAAACUUUUAUGUAGAGAUCCUGGAGAGCAUUAGCAUGAUCUAUUCAUAGUGCCUGUUUCUGAACAUAAAAAAGUGCAAAUACAGUUCUCACUACAAUAAGCCUGACUCCUUUCAUGUGUACAACAAUCACAUUGAAAAUCUCUUGAUCUACAAGUGAUAAGAAUAUAAAAUGUACAAGCUUUUUUUUUCUUACCUUUGGCAAGUCAAAAUUGAAACCUCAAAUCUUUUGGGGUUUACACUGGCUCUAUCUAACCCAUAAAUUAUUGUGAGGAUCAAAUGACAUAUCCCUUAGAAAGCAAUUUGUAAUAGAUUAAGGAAGAAUAUCAAAAUAAAAUGAGCUGUUAAUAUGCAAUUAUUUCUAAUUAUUGGGGAGAAGGCAGUACAUAUAUGUAAUUGUUCUCCAAUGAGAAAUAUCUAGUGUUUUCAUGGUUUUGUAAAGAAUUCUUGUCUUUUGCUCUACUCAAGGCAAUGGCAAUGUACAAUGUCUAGUGAAGAGGAACAUUUUAUUUUAUAACUUGUCAAGUUAAAUAAAAUUUGAAACCUUUUUUAAAAAGUCAUAUUGUUGCAAACAAUGCAAAACUUAAGCAUGAGAGUGAAAAAUGACAUUGCAUUUUAAUUUUAUCAGUAAGUCAAAUUUCAUCUACAUGUUUUAAAACACUGUAUUCCUUUCUAAGCUGUUUUUAAUGCAUUACUGUCUGUUUGAUAGUUUUAAUAUUGUAAGAGCCAGAGUCAUUUCAUUUACUUAAAGCCAAUUUGCUCAAGCUGUAGGAAUUAUGUUAUCUUAAAAUUAUUCUAGUAGUGUACUUAAACUUUUCUUUUACGUCAAUAUAUGGGUAUCUUACUGCCUUCUAUAAUUCAGUUCAAAUUAACAAGUAUUUAUAUGAACAUCUCAUUCAAAAAAGUAAAAAUUUCUUAAGUGUUUUUGAGGCUUUAUUUAAAGAUUUUAAUUCCAUUUUCCUAAUAUAUUCAAAAUUACUAUAAACAUUUGGUAAAGAUAGUCCUUUUAGGCAAUAAAGUAGCAGACAAUACAUCAGUUUGGCUAUUGGUUUCAUUGAUUUUUGACCUAAGAUCAUAAAAUCAAAUAAAGUACAUUUAUUUCAUAAAAGGUAGUUGGUAAAUAUUGUAAAGAAGGACCCUUAUGUCUUCAUCAGAGCCUUAGAAUCACUAGGAGUGGAACAACUGAAUUGGCUAUCUUUUGAAAUGACAGUUCUCAAACUUGGCUUUGCAUUUGAGCUUAUUGUGUAGUUUUGAACAAACAAGUAGAAGAGUUGUCAAAAAAAAAAGAAAAAAAAGAAUGGGAUAUAAGAGGAAUCUAAGCAUGGGGAUUAAUAUUUACUACUUUUUUCUCAUCACUUAUCAUAUACAAUCAAUCAUUUAUUCCUCUAGCAAUCAUCUGGUAAAUAACAUGUUUAUAAAUUCCAUUAUUUUCCUUUUCAACAUUUCUGGACUUAAUUGAAUAAUUUACAAACCAUUCUUCCAUCUUCAAUAUUAUCUUUUUCAUUUUUAUUCUAUUGAAAGUAAAAGUCCACCAUGACAAAUUUCUUAAAAUACCACACCAAUUUGGGGCUGGGGAUGUGGCUCAAGCUGUAGCGCGCUUGCCUGUCAUGUGUGCGGCCCGGAUUCAAUCCCAACACCACAUACAAACAAAGAUGUUGUGUCCGCCAAAAACUAAAAAAAAAUAAAUAAAUAUUAAAAUUCUCUCUCUCUCUCUCUCUCUCUCUCUCUCUCUCUCUCUCUUUAAAAAAAUACCAUACCAAUUAACAUCUUUCAGGGACUCCAAAAUACUCUGUGGAUUGGCUCAGGACAUUUAACCCUGAUUUAAGAAUUGUGCCCAGGCAGUCAGGAUACAUCAUGAAAUUAUAUGCAAAAUUUUGUUAAAGUACUUCUAAGUGAUUUUUCCCUCUUGGGGGUGGGGAGAAACAAACUACAGCUUUUAUGAGAGUCUACAAAGAUCCUAUAGAAUUCAAUGUUCUAACAAAGCCAAGAAGGCCUGUUAUAAUCCUUUUCCUACUUCCUUUCCAGCCUCAUCUCUCUCAUUAGCACCUUUUCAUGCAGAAACAAUAUUAAACCCACUCAUGGUUCCUAACACAUACCGUAGCUGUGCUCAAAGUAACCACAUUUGUUGAAAUGCUUUAUUGAUCGUGUCAUUUUACUGGAUUAAGNCCAUUUUCCUAAUAUAUUCAAAAUUACUGUAAACAUUUGGUAAAGAUAGUCCUUUUAGGCAAUAAAGUAGCAGACAAUACAUCAGUUUGGCUAUUGGUUUCAUUGAUUUUUGACCUAAGAUCAUAAAAUCAAAUAAAGUACAUUUAUUUCAUAAAAGGUAGUUGGUAAAUAUUGUAAAGAAGGACCCUUAUGUCUUCAUCAGAGCCUUAGAAUCACUAGGAGUGGAACAACUGAAUUGGCUAUCUUUUGAAAUGACAGUUCUCAAACUUGGCUUUGCAUUUGAGCUUAUUGUGUAGUUUUGAACAAACAAGUAGAAGAGUUGUCAAAAAAAAAAGAAAAAAAAGAAUGGGAUAUAAGAGGAAUCUAAGCAUGGGGAUUAAUAUUUACUACUUUUUUCUCAUCACUUAUCAUAUACAAUCAAUCAUUUAUUCCUCUAGCAAUCAUCUGGUAAAUAACAUGUUUAUAAAUUCCAUUAUUUUCCUUUUCAACAUUUCUGGACUUAAUUGAAUAAUUUACAAACCAUUCUUCCAUCUUCAAUAUUAUCUUUUUCAUUUUUAUUCUAUUGAAAGUAAAAGUCCACCAUGACAAAUUUCUUAAAAUACCACACCAAUUUGGGGCUGGGGAUGUGGCUCAAGCUGUAGCGCGCUUGCCUGUCAUGUGUGCGGCCCGGAUUCGAUCCCAACACCACAUACAAACAAAGAUGUUGUGUCCGCCAAAAACUAAAAAAAAAUAAAUAAAUAUUAAAAUUCUCUCUCUCUCUCUCUCUCUCUCUCUCUCUCUCUCUCUCUCUCUCUCUCUUUAAAAAAAUACCAUACCAAUUAACAUCUUUCAGGGACUCCAAAAUACUCUGUGGAUUGGCUCAGGACAUUUAACCCUGAUUUAAGAAUUGUGCCCAGGCAGUCAGGAUACAUCAUGAAAUUAUAUGCAAAAUUUUGUUAAAGUACUUCUAAGUGAUUUUUCCCUCUUGGGGGUGGGGAGAAACAAACUACAGCUUUUAUGAGAGUCUACAAAGAUCCUAUAGAAUUCAAUGUUCUAACAAAGCCAAGAAGGCCUGUUAUAAUCCUUUUCCUACUUCCUUUCCAGCCUCAUCUCUCUCAUUAGCACCUUUUCAUGCAGAAACAAUAUUAAACCCACUCAUGGUUCCUAACACAUACCGUAGCUGUGCUCAAAGUAACCACAUUUGUUGAAAUGCUUUAUUGAUCGUGUCAUUUUACUGGAUUAAGACUUCCUCAUUCUUUUUAAUUUUUUUUUUUUUUUACUAUUCUAAUCAGUUAUACAUGACAUCAGAAAGCUUUUGGUUCAUUGUACACAAAUGGAGCACAACUUUUCAUUUCUCUGUUUUUACACAACAUAGAGUUGCAUCAUAUAAGCAGUCAUACAUGUACCUAGAGUAAUGAUGUUUGUUAUCUUCCACCAUCUUUCCUACUCCCAUGCCCCCUCCCCUUCCCUCACUCCCCUUGGCCCAGACAAAGUUCCUCUAUUCUCCCCACACCCUUCCCCCCAUUAUGGAUCAGCAUCCACUUAUCAAAAAAAAACAUUUGGCCUUUGAUUUUUAGGGGAUUGGUUUACUUCGCUUAUCAUGAUAUUCUCCAACUCCAUCCAUUUGCCUGCAAAUGCUAUAAUUUUAUUCUCUUUUAACGCUGAAUAAUAUUCUAUUGUAUAUAUACCACAGUUAAAGAUAUAUAUAUAUAUAUAUAUAUAUAUAUAUAGGUUUCACAUCUCAGCUGUUGCAAAUUGUGCAGCUAUAAACAUCGAAGUGGCUGCGUCACUAUAAUAUGCUAUUUUUAAGUCCUUUGGCUAUAGACCAAGGAAUGGGAUAGCUGGGUCAAAUGUUGGUUCCAUUCCAAGUUUUCUAAGGAAUCUCCAUACUGCUUUCCAUAUUGGUUGCACCAAUUUGCAGUCCCACCAGCGAUGUAUGAGUGUGCCUUUUCUGACUUCCUCAUUCUUUAAAAUACUCUUAACUAUAAAUUGGAAAUUAAAUACUUGGGUUCCUAACAAGUAAUGCAAAUAAAAAUGAAUAUGAGCACAAUGUGGGGUGGGGGUCCAUUACUGAGAAAUGAUGCCAGAUGAAGAGUGGGGAUGAAAUAAGAAAAAGCCAGGGAACAGAUUAUCUGAAAUUUUGUAAAUAGACUAAGAAGACUGGAUUUUAUUCUGAUGUGGUGAAAAUUCAAAAGAGAAAUUACAAUAGGAGUUCAGCAUGAACUGAUUUCCACUUCUAGAAAACACUAUCAUAUUGUAUACGGAAUCAGUAAUAGGUAGAAAGAUGGGUUGAAGAGAUAAAUCAUGAGGAUAUUAUAAUAGUCCAUACCAAAGCAAUAAUAAUUUAACAAGGAAUGAUAGCACUGAAGAUCGCAUAGUUCUAGAUUUAGAGUGGAUUAUGUUUUGGAGGUCAAGGUGAUGGUGUACACAGAUGGAAGGUAUGUGGGGAAAAUGGGAGAACUCUUAGUUUUUUAUUUUGUUUUGUGUAGUUAUAGAUGGAAAGCUUGCCUUUAUUUGUUUAUUUUUAUGUGUUGCUAAGGAUUGAACCCAGUACCUCACACAUGCUAGGCAACUGCUGUGCCACUCAGCUACAGCCCCAGCCCCUGGGUUUUUUGAUUCCAAUAAUUGGGAGGAUGGUUUUUUACUUCUUGAGUGAGACGAAGAAGAGAAGAAAUAUGACUCCCUUCCUGUACUCUUGAUUGGGAGAUUGAGUGGAUGGUUAUAUAUAUAUGUAUAUUAUUCACAAGGAAACAACAAUUUUUAUGGGAUAGAUUGAGUCUAUAGUUAAGCAUAUGUAUAUGUAAAUAUAUAUAUAUAUAUAUAUGAAUAUCUAUCUAUCUAUCUAUCUAUCUAUCUAUAUAUAUAUAUGCAUAUUUAUUUCCAGAAAUUUUUAUCUUGUUUUAGGAAAGUGUGUGUUUUCAAUGAAGAAAAGGGAUAACUUUACUCUUUAAAAUAAACUUUUUAAUAAAGUUAAUCAGGCUAUUGAUUAGGGAUAGUGUUUACAUGUUAAUAAUAUUAACCUUUAAGAGUAACAUGCUUAUCUUAGUGAUAUUUAUGAAGUAACUGUAACUGUAAAUACUUUGAUAAUUAGUGUUAAAAUUUUUAUUUUUAUUUUUAUGUUUUUAUUAGCUGUUCAAAACAUUACAAAGCUCUUGACAUAUAAUAUUUCACACAUUUGAUUCAAGUGGGUUAUGAACUCCCAUUUUUACCCCGUAUACAGAUUGCAGAAUCACAUCGGUUUAGUGUUAAAAUUAUGACUCAAAUUCAGAUACCUCAUAUAGAGACUAUUUUUCUCAGCUCUUUCUUCAUAUACCCUUUGGGUUAGAAUUUCCUUGCUCUGUCAUGUUGAUGCUUUCUCUUCUUUCCUAACAGUCACCCAAGAAGUCCCGACCUGUUGUUGAUGUUUCUAACUGGAUGAGUAAGAGACUCUCUAACUCUACAGGGUCCAUAGUAGUUCUUGCCAUUCCUUGUAGUUAAUGCUGUCAUUGUCCUUCCCACAGGGCUCCACUCACUCACCGAAAAGUGCUCAAACUCCCCUAUUGGAAUGGUCAGCAUCUGCAUCUCUAUGCCUGAAGACUCUUUAGCCCUGAACUGAAGAAACACACUCUUGAUACCAACAGUGCUGGGGAAUUUACCAUCCAACCCUGUACUCAGAAGACUUGAGAAAAGCUUCUGUUCCUCAUCUCCACACAUUGUGGUGUUCUAUUUCACAGUUUGCUUCCAGCAUUAAGCUUUAGUCAUUUCCUCUGUCAGCUUGCUAAAUAAAAAUCUGUAAUGGCAAACUUCUUUUUCUUAUUUCAUCCCCACUCUUGAUCUUUGACCUUCCC